rnacentral:rRNA from 1 species
AUUGAACGCUAGCGGGAUGCUUUACACAUGCAAGUCGAACGAGUGGCGGACGGGUGAGUAAUGUAUCGGAACGUGCCCAAUAGAGGGGGAUAACUACUCGAAACAGUAGCUAAUACCGCAUACCAUCGGAUGUGCCCAAAUGGGAUUAGCUAGUUGGUGGGGUAAAGGCUCACCAAGGCAACGAUCCGUAGCUGGUUUGAGAGGAUGACCAGCCACACUGGAACUGAGACACGGCCCAGACUCCUACGGGAGGCAGCAGUGGGGAAUAUUGGACAAUGGGGGAAAGCCUGAUCCAGCCAUCCCGCGUGUAUGAUGAAGGCCUUCGGGUUGUAAAGUACUUUUGGCGGAGAAGCGUUAUCUGCAGAAGAAGCACCGGCUAACUCCGUGCCAGCAGCCGCGGUAAUUC